rnacentral:rRNA from 1 species
UUAGCGGAUGACUUGUGGCUGGGGGUGAAAGGCCAAUCAAACCGGGAGAUAGCUGGUUCUCCCCGAAAGCUAUUUAGGUAGCGCCUCGUGAAUUCAUCUCCGGGGGUAGAGCACUGUUUCGGCAAGGGGGUCAUCCCGACUUACCAACCCGAUGCAAACUGCGAAUACCGGAGAAUGUUAUCACGGGAGACACACGGCGGGUGCUAACGUCCGUCGUGAAGAGGGAAACAACCCAGACCGCCAGCUAAGGUCCCAAAGUCAUGGUUAAGUGGGAAACGAUGUGGGAAGGCCCAGACAGCCAGGAUGUUGGCUUAGAAGCAGCCAUCAUUUAAAGAAAGCGUAAUAGCUCACUGGUCGAGUCGGCCUGCGCGGAAGAUGUAACGGGGCUAAACCAUGCACCGAAGCUGCGGCAGCGACACUAUGUGUUGUUGGGUAGGGGAGCGUUCUGUAAGCCUGUGAAGGUGGCCUGUGAGGGUUGCUGGAGGUAUCAGAAGUGCGAAUGCUGACAUAAGUAACGAUAAAGCGGGUGAAAAGCCCGCUCGCCGGAAGACCAAGGGUUCCUGUCCAACGUUAAUCGGGGCAGGGUGAGUCGACCCCUAAGGCGAGGCCGAAAGGCGUAGUCGAUGGGAAACAGGUUAAUAUUCCUGUACUUGGUGUUACUGCGAAGGGGGGACGGAGAAGGCUAUGUUGGCCGGGCGACGGUUGUCCCGGUUUAAGCGUGUAGGCUGGUUUUCCAGGCAAAUCCGGAAAACCAAGGCUGAGGCGUGAUGACGAGGCACUACGGUGCUGAAGCGACAAAUGCCCUGCUUCCAGGAAAAGCCUCUAAGCAUCAGGUAACAUCAAAUCGUACCCCAAACCGACACAGGUGGUCAGGUAGAGAAUACCAAGGCGCUUGAGAGAACUCGGGUGAAGGAACUAGGCAAAAUGGUGCCGUAACUUCGGGAGAAGGCACGCUGAUAUGUAGGUGAAGCGACUUGCUCGUGGAGCUGAAAUCAGUCGAAGAUACCAGCUGGCUGCAACUGUUUAUUAAAAACACAGCACUGUGCAAACACGAAAGUGGACGUAUACGGUGUGACGCCUGCCCGGUGCCGGAAGGUUAAUUGAUGGGGUUAGCGGCAACGCGAAGCUCUUGAUCGAAGCCCCGGUAAACGGCGGCCGUAACUAUAACGGUCCUAAGGUAGCGAAAUUCCUUGUCGGGUAAGUUCCGACCUGCACGAAUGGCGUAAUGAUGGCCAGGCUGUCUCCACCCGAGACUCAGUGAAAUUGAACUCGCUGUGAAGAUGCAGUGUACCCGCGGCAAGACGGAAAGACCCCGUGAACCUUUACUAUAGCUUGACACUGAACAUUGAGCCUUGAUGUGUAGGAUAGGUGGGAGGCUUUGAAGUGUGGACGCCAGUCUGCAUGGAGCCGACCUUGAAAUACCACCCUUUAAUGUUUGAUGUUCUAACGUUGGCCCGUAAUC